rnacentral:lncRNA from 1 species
UACAAGAAAUUUAGUUUUUUGUGACAAGCAAUGUUGUCACUGAAACUUGGAAUAUUGUCACUGAUGAAUUUCUCUGACAACAAACUAUUGUCACUAGCCGGUCGCAAUUGCUUCAUCGCUAAAACCAUUUAUGACAACUUAAAUUUCUUGUCACUGAAUCAUUUCUUUUCUGUGACAAUAGAGCUUGUCACUUAAUGUACUUUUUGCUGUCACCAAUACAAU